rnacentral:rRNA from 1 species
UGGGGAAUAUUGGACAAUGGGCGCAAGCCUGAUCCAGCAAUGCCGCGUGUGUGAAGAAGGCCCUCGGGUUGUAAAGCACUUUUAUCAGGAGCGAAAUCUGCCCGGUUAAUACCUGGGUAGUCUGACGGUACCUGAGGAAUAAGCACCGGCUAACUCCGUGCCAGCAGCCGCGGUAAUACGGAGGGUGCAAGCGUUAAUCGGAAUUACUGGGCGUAAAGGGUGCGUAGGCGGUUGUUUAAGUCUGUUGUGAAAUCCCCGGGCUCAACCUGGGAAUGGCAAUGGAUACUGGGCAGCUAGAGUGUGUCAGAGGAUGGUGGAAUUCCCGGUGUAGCGGUGAAAUGCGUAGAGAUCGGGAGGAACAUCAGUGGCGAAGGCGGCCAUCUGGGACAACACUGACGCUGAAGCACGAAAGCGUGGGGAGCAAACA